rnacentral:rRNA from 1 species
ACGGAGGGGGCAAGCGUUGUUCGGAAUUACUGGGCGUAAAGCGCACGUAGGCGGCUAACCAAGUUGGGGGUGAAAGCCCAGGGCUUAACCCUGGAACUGCCUUCAAGACUGGUUGGCUAGAGGCCGAGAGAGGUAAGGGGAAUUCCUAGUGUAGAGGUGAAAUUCGUAGAUAUUAGGAAGAACACCGGUGGCGAAGGCGCCUUACUGGCUCGGAACUGACGCUGAGGUGCGAAAGCGUGGGGAUCAAACAG